UACGGAGGGAGCUAGCGUUGUUCGGAAUUACUGGGCGUAAAGCGCACGUAGGCGGCGAUUCAAGUCAGAGGUGAAAGCCCGGGGCUCAACUCCGGAACUGCCUUUGAAACUAGAUUGCUAGAAUCUUGGAGAGGCGAGUGGAAUUCCGAGUGUAGAGGUGAAAUUCGUAGAUAUUCGGAAGAACACCAGUGGCGAAGGCGACUCGCUGGACAAGUAUUGACGCUGAGGUGCGAAAGCGUGGGGAGCAAAGCAGG
rnacentral:rRNA from 1 species